GCCGACGACCGGCGCACGGGUGCGUAACGCGUAUACAAUCUACCUUAUACUGGGGUAUAGCCUUUAGAAAUGAAGAUUAAUCCCCCAUAGUCUCUUAAAGUGGCAUCACUUAAGGAGUAAAGGUUACGGUAUAAGAUGAGUAUGCGUUCUAUUAGUUUGUUGGUGUGGUAACGGCACACCAAGACUACGAUAGAUAGGGGCCCUGAGAGGGGGAUCCCCCACACUGGUACUGAGACACGGACCAGACUCCUACGGGAGGCAGCAGUGAGGAAUAUUGGACAAUGGAGGCAACUCUGAUCCAGCCAUGCCGCGUGCAGGAUGACUGCCCUAUGGGUUGUAAACUGCUUUUAUACAGGAAGAAACUUACACACGUGUGUGUAACUGACGGUACUGUAAGAAUAAGGAUCGGCUAACUCCGUGCCAGCAGCCGCGGUAAUACGGAGGAUCCAAGCGUUAUCCGGAAUCAUUGGGUUUAAAGGGUCCGUAGGUUGAUAAUUAAGUCAGAGGUGAAAUCUUGCAGCUCAACUGUAAAAUUGCCUUUGAUACUGGUUAUCUUGAGUUAUUAUGAAGUAGUUAGAAUAUGUAGUGUAGCGGUGAAAUGCAUAGAUAUUACAUAGAAUACCAAUUGCGAAGGCAGAUUACUAAUAAUCAACUGACACUGAUGGACGAAAGCGUGGGUAGCGAACAGGAUUAGAUACCCUGGUAGUCCACGCCGUAAACGAUGGUUACUAGCUGUUUGGACCUUGUGUCUGAGUGGCUAAGCGAAAGUGAUAAGUAACCCACCUGG
rnacentral:rRNA from 1 species